GACGAACGCUGGCGGCGCGCUUAACACAUGCAAGUCGAGCGAGAACCUGGGCUUCGGCCCUGGGGACAGCGGCGAACGGGUGAGUAACACGUGGGUAAUCCACCCUCGGCACCGGAAUAGCCCGGGGAAACCCGGAUUAAUGCCGGAUGGCCCGCCGGCCCUGCGGGGCUGGCGGAAAAGGUAGCUUCGGCCUCCGGCCGAGGACCAGCCCGCGACGGAUUAGCUUGUUGGUGGGGUCACGGCCUACCAAGGCUGCGAUCCGUAGCUGGUCUGAGAGGACGAUCAGCCACACUGGGACUGAGACACGGCCCAGACUCCUACGGGAGGCAGCAGUGGGGAAUCUUGCGCAAUGGGCGAAAGCCUGACGCAGCGACGCCGCGUGAGGGAAGAGGGCCUUCGGGUUGUAAACCUCUUUCAGGAGGGACGAAGCCACUCGGGUUAAUAGCCCAGAGGGUGACGGUACCUCCAGAAGAAGCCCCGGCUAACUACGUGCCAGCCGCCGCGGUAAAAC
rnacentral:rRNA from 1 species